UGGGGAAUAUUGGACAAUGGGCGCAAGCCUGAUCCAGCCAUGCCGCGUGAGUGAUGAAGGCCCUAGGGUUGUAAAGCUCUUUUAGUGGGGAUGGCUCAGGGUUAACACCUCUGGGUCUUGACCUAACCCACAGAAAAAGCACCGGCUAACUCU
rnacentral:rRNA from 1 species